AGUGAACGCUGGCGGCGUGCUUAACACAUGCAAGUCGAACGAGUAAGUGCUGUAGCAAUACAGAUUACUGCUAGUGGCAGACGGGUGAGUAAUACAUGGGAAUCUGCCUUGGAGCAGGGGAUAACAGUUGGAAACGAUUGCUAAUACCCUAUAUUGCCUAAGGGUGAAAGAUUUAUCACUCCAAGAUGAGCCCAUGCGAGAUUAGCCAGUUGGUAGGGUAAUGGCCUACCAAGGCAACGAUCUCUAGUUGGUCUAAGAGGAUGAUCAACCACACUGGGACUGAGACACGGCCCAGACUCCUACGGGAGGCAGCAGUGGGGAAUAUUGGACAAUGGGCGAAAGCCUGAUCCAGCGACGCCGCGUGGAUGAUGAAGGCCUUAGGGUUGUAAAGUCCUUUCAGCAGGGAAGAUAAUGACGGUACCUGCAGAAGAAGCUCCGGCUAACUUCGUGCCAGCCGCCGCAGUAAGAC
rnacentral:rRNA from 1 species